CCCAGACUCCUACGGGAGGCAGCAGUGGGGAAUAUUGCACAAUGGGGGAAACCCUGAUGCAGCAACGCCGCGUGAGUGAAGAAGUAUUUCGGUAUGUAAAGCUCUAUCAGCAGGGAAGAAGAAGGACGGUACCUGACUAAGAAGCCCCGGCUAACUACGUGCCAGCAGCCGCGGUAAUACGUAGGGGGCAAGCGUUAUCCGGAAUUACUGGGUGUAAAGGGAGCGUAGACGGUGAAGUAAGUCUGGAGUGAAAGGCGGGGGCCCAACCCCCGGACUGCUCUGGAAACUAUUUGACUGGAGUGCAGGAGAGGUAAGCGGAAUUCCUAGUGUAGCGGUGAAAUGCGUAGAUAUUAGGAGGAACACCAGUGGCGAAGGCGGCUUACUGGACUGUAACUGACGUUGAGGCUCGAAAGCGUGGGGAGCAAACAGGAUUAGAUACCCUCGUACGU
rnacentral:rRNA from 1 species